rnacentral:rRNA from 1 species
AUGUAUCCAGUAGCUUGGGCUGUUGUGGAGAAGGAGACAAAUGAGAGUUGGGCCUGGUUCAUUGGUCUUUUAAUCAAAGACUUGGACAUUAACGAUCAAGGAGCUGGAUGGGUCUUUAUUUCUGAUAAGCAAAAG